GCCGCUAUCGUCUAGUGGCUAGGACACCGCCCUCUCACGGCGGGAACAGGGGUUCAACUCCCCUUAGCGGUACCA
rnacentral:tRNA from 1 species